rnacentral:rRNA from 1 species
AAGUCGUAACAAGGUUUCCGUAGGUGAACCUGCGGAAGGAUCAUUAUCGAAUAAACUUGAACAGGCUGUUGCUGGUCCCAGGACAAUGUGCACGCUUGUCAUCUUUAUCAUUUCUCCCAACUGUGCGCAUAUUGUAGACCCUGGAUUUUGUUCCGAGUGGGGACUGCUGUGCUUCAAAAGAAGUCGGCUUUCCCCUUGAAGGUCUAUGUUUGUUUUUCACAACCUCUCGAAUGUGUUUAGAAUGUUGAAAUAAAGAAAAGUUAAUAAAAUACAACUUUCAGCAACGGAUCUCUUGGCUCUCGCAUCGAUGAAGAACGCAGCGAAAUGCGAUAAGUAAUGUGAAUUGCAGAAUUCAGUGAAUCAUCGAAUCUUUGAACGCAUCUUGCGCUCCUUGGUAUUCCGAGGAGCAUGCCUGUUUGAGUGUCAUUUAAACUCUCAAACCACAUCAUUCGUUUGACGUGGCUUUGGAUGUGGGGGUUGCCGGCUUUCUUCUCAGAGAGCCCUGCUCCCCUGAAAUGCAUUAGUGGUAUCUGGAGUGGAAAACCGNUAGGUGUGAUAAUACUGUCUAUGCCUUUGGUUAUGCCANANNGNGCUGCUUCUAAACCGCACAUUUUUGUGCUUUUGACAAACUGACCNNNNCUGCGAGUGAGCGGGAAGAGCUNAAAUUUGAAAUCUGGCGGUCGUUGGNNNUCGNNANUUNGUAAUCUAGAGAAGUGCUACCUGUGCUGGACCUGNACAAGUCUCCUGGAAUGGAGCAUCGCAGAGGGUGAGAAUCCCGUCUUUGACACGGACUGCCUGUACGUCAUGGUGCGCUCUCGAAGAGUCGAGUUGUUUGGGAAUGCAGCUCAAAAUGGGUGGUAAAUGCCAUCUAAAGCUAAAUAUUGGCGAGAGACCGAUAGCGAACAAGUACCGUGAGGGAAAGAUGAAAAGAACUUUGGAAAGAGAGUUAAACAGUACGUGAAAUUGCUGAAAGGGAAACGCUUGAAGUCAGUCGCGUCGGCCAGAAAUCAGCCUUUGCUUUUGCUUGGUGUACUUUCUUGGUUGAUGGGUCAGCAUCAAUUUCGACCGUCGGAUAAAGUCGUCGGGAAUGUGGCAUCUUCGGAUGUGUUAUAGCCCGGCGUCGCAUACGGUGGUUGGGAUUGAGGAACUCAGCACGCCGAAAGGCCGGGUCUCUCGAGACCACGUCCGUGCUUAGGAUGCUGGCAUAAUGGCUUUAAUCGACCCGUCUUGAAACACGGACC